CCUGCGGAGGGAUCAUUACACAAAUAUGAAGGCGGGCUGGAAUCUCUCGGGGUUACAGCCUUGCUGAAUUAUUCACCCUUGUCUUUUGCGUACUUCUUGUUUCCUUGGUGGGUUCGCCCACCACUAGGACAAACAUAAACCUUUUGUAAUUGCAAUCAGCGUCAGUAACAAAUUAAUAAUUACAACUUUCAACAACGGAUCUCUUGGUUCUGGCAUCGAUGAAGAACGCAGCGAAAUGCGAUAAGUAGUGUGAAUUGCAGAAUUCAGUGAAUCAUCGAAUCUUUGAACGCACAUUGCGCCCUUUGGUAUUCCAAAGGGCAUGCCUGUUCGAGCGUCAUUUGUACCCUCAAGCUUUGCUUGGUGUUGGGCGUCUUGUCUCUAGCUUUGCUGGAGACUCGCCUUAAAGUAAUUGGCAGCCGGCCUACUGGUUUCGGAGCGCAGCACAAGUCGCACUCUCUAUCAGCAAAGGUCUAGCAUCCAUUAAGCCUUUUUUCAACUUUUGACCUCGGAUCAGGUAGGGAUACCCGCUGAACUUAAGCAUAUCAAUAACGGAGGAA
rnacentral:rRNA from 1 species